rnacentral:rRNA from 1 species
GGUGUAGCGGUGGAAUGCGCAGAUAUCAGGAGGAACACCGAUGGCGAAGGCAGAUCUCUGGGCCGUAACUGACGCUGAGGAGCGAAAGGGUGGGGAGCAAACAGGCUUAGAUACCCUGGUAGUCCACCCCGUAAACGUUGGGAACUAGUUGUGGGGUCCAUUCCACGGAUUCCGUGACGCAGCUAACGCAUUAAGUUCCCCGCCUGGGGAGUACGGCCGCAAGGCUAAAACUCAAAGGAAUUGACGGGGACCCGCACAAGCGGCGGAGCAUGCGGAUUAAUUCGAUGCAACGCGAAGAACCUUACCAAGGCUUGACAUAUACGAGAACGCUGCAGAAAUGUAGAACUCUUUGGACACUCGUAAACAGGUGGUGCAUGGUUGUCGUCAGCUCGUGUCGUGAGAUGUUGGGUUAAGUCCCGCAACGAGCGCAACCCUCGUUCUAUGUUGCCAGCACGUAAUGGUGGGAACUCAUGGGAUACUGCCGGGGUCAACUCGGAGGAAGGUGGGGAUGACGUCAAAUCAUCAUGCCCCUUAUGUCUUGGGCUUCACGCAUGCUACAAUGGCCGGUACAAAGGGCUGCAAUACCGUGAGGUGGAGCGAAUCCCAAAAAGCCGGUCCCAGUUCGGAUUGAGGUCUGCAACUCGACCUCAUGAAGUCGGAGUCGCUAGUAAUCGCAGAUCAGCAACGCUGCGGUGAAUACGUUCCCGGGUCUUGUACACACCGCCCGUCAAGUCAUGAAAGUCGGUAACACCUGAAGCCGGUGGCCCAACCCUUGUGGAGG